rnacentral:rRNA from 1 species
AGUGAACGCUGGCGGCAGGCCUAACACAUGCAAGUCGAACGGUAGCACAGAGGAGCUUGCUCCUUGGGUGACGAGUGGCGGACGGGUGAGGAAUACAUCGGAAUCUACCCUGUCGUGGGGGAUAACGUAGGGAAACUUACGCUAAUACCGCAUACGAACUGAGGUUGAAAGCAGGGGACCGCAAGGCCUUGCGCGAUUGGAUGAGCCGAUGUCCGAUUAGCUAGUUGGUAAGGUAAAGGCUUACCAAGGCGACGAUCGGUAGCUGGUCUGGGAGGGAGACCAGCCACACUGGAACGGGGGCACGGUCCGACCUCCGACGGGAGGAAGCAGUGGGGAGUAUUGGACAAUGGGCGCAAGCCGGAUCCAGCCAUGCCGCGUGUGUGAAGAAGGCCUUCGGGUCGUAAAGCACUUUUGUUGGGAAAGAAAAGCGGUCGGUUAAUACCCGGUCGUACUGACGGUACCCAAAGAAUAAGCACCGGCUAACUUCGUGCCAGCAGCCGCCGUAA